GCAGACCUCAGCUCAGAGGCAGAGCACCUGCUUUCCAUGCAGAAGGUUCCAGGUUCAAUUCUGGACAUUAGCA